rnacentral:rRNA from 1 species
AGUGAACGCUGGCGGUAGGCCUAACACAUGCAAGUCGAACGGCAGCACAGUAAGAGCUUGCUCUUACGGGUGGCGAGUGGCGGACGGGUGAGGAAUACAUCGGAAUCUACUUUUUCGUGGGGGAUAACGUGGGGAAACUUACGCUAAUACCGCAUACGACCUACGGGUGAAAGCAGGGGAUCUUCGGACCUUGCGCGAUUGAAUGAGCCGAUGUCGGAUUAGCUAGUUGGCGUGGUAAAGGCCCACCAAGGCAACGAUCCGUAGCUGAUCUGAGAGGAUGAUCGGCCACACUGGAACUGAGACACGGUCCAGACUCCUACGGGAGGCAGCAGUAGGGAAUAUUGGACAAAGGGCGCAAGCCUGAUCCAGCCAUACCGCGUGGGUGAAGAAGGCCUUCGGGUUGUAAAGCCCUUUUGUUGGGAAAGAAAAGCAGCAGGUUAAUACCCCGCUGUUCUGACGGUACCCAAAGAAUAAGCACCGGCUAACUUCGUG